rnacentral:rRNA from 1 species
GGACUACCAGGGUUUCUAAUCCCGUUUGCUCCCCUGGCCUUCGCGCCUCAGCGUCAGGAACUGUCCAGAGAUCCGCCUUCGCCACCGGUCUUCCUCACGAUAUCUACGCAUUUCACUGCUACACCGUGAAUUCCAAUCUCCUCUCCAGUCCUCUAGCAGAGCAGUAUCAAGUGCAAUUUCAGAGUUGAGCUCUGAGAUUUCACACCUGACUUACCCCGCAGCCUACGCGCCCUUUACGCCCAAUGAAUCCGAACAACGCUCGAGACCUCUGUAUUACCGCGGCGGCUGGCAC